AACGAACGCUGGCGGCACGUUUUAAGCAUGCAAGUCGAAUGGCAGCAGGGGCAACUCUGUGAGAAUGGCGAACGGGUGAGUAACACGUAGGUGAUCUGCCUUGAGGAUGGGGAUAGCCUGUGGAAACACAGGGUAAUACCGAAUAAGCUGACGGGACUUUGGUUUUGUUAGUAAAGGUGCUACGGCACCGCCUUGAGAGGAGCCUGCGGCUGAUUAGCUAGUUGGUGGGGUAAAGGCCUACCAAGGCGACGAUCAGUAGCCGGCCUGAGAGGGUGUACGGCCACACUGGGACUGGGACACGGCCCAGACUGCUACGGGAGGCAGCAGCUAAGAAUCUUCCGCAAUGGGCGAAAGCCUGACGGAGCGAUGCCGCGUGAUCGAUGAAGGUCGAGAGAUUGUAAAGAUCUUUUCUACAUGAGGAAUAAGUCUGGGAGGGAAUGCCUGGAUGAUGACGUUAGUGUAGGAAUAAGCCCCGGCUAAUUACGUGCCAGCAGCCGCAGUAA
rnacentral:rRNA from 1 species